GACGAACGCUGGCGGCGUGCUUAACACAUGCAAGUCGAACGACGUGGCGAACGGGUGAGUAAUACGUGGGUAACCUGCCCUCCUUUUUGGGAUAAGCCUUGGAAACGGGGUCUAAUACCGAAUAAAGGGGGAUGGGCUCGCGGCCUAUCAGCUUGUUGGUGGGGUGAUGGCCUACCAAGGCGGUGACGGGUAGCCGGCCUGAGAGGGGGACCCGCCACAUCGGGACUGAGCAACGGCCCAGGCGCCUACGGGGGGCAGCAGUGGGGGAUAUUGCACAAUGGGCGAAAGUCUGACGACGCAACGCCGCGUGAGUGAUGGCGGCCUUCGGGUUGUAAAGCUCGUAACGGACGGAUGCGGUACCGGAAUAGAAAGCCACGGCUAACUACGUGCCAGCCGCCGCGGUAAUUC
rnacentral:rRNA from 1 species